rnacentral:misc_RNA from 1 species
GUGAGCAGGCUCUGAGGAGGAAUAUAAAUAUCAAAUAGUAAUAGAAUAAAACAACAGAUUUGAGAGAAAAAUGCUCUUGAUAAACGCAAUUAACUGACAUAAACGAACCAAAGAAAAGAAACAGUGACAAAGAAGAGCUGUUGAAAUCGAAUGAAUUGGGAAGGCUAGUGAUCUCUAAAGUCUGAGCCUGUGAUUAGUGUUUUGUGUUGGUGUUUUUAAAAAAAAUAAAAGGAUCUAGGAUGGAACACGAUAGCUUCGACGAUCCCAUUUUUGGGGACUUUGGCGGCGGUCCGCUGAACCCUCUAGGCGCCAAGCCCCUCCUGCCCACCUCGACUGCGAUGCAUCCCGUGAUGCUGGGCAGUGUCCACGAGCUGUGCAGCCAGCAACAACAACAGCCGCAGCAACAGAGGUUGCCCGACUGCAACACUAUUCUGCCAAACGGAGGCGGGGGAGGAGCAGGUGGCGGUUCUGGUCCCGGAGGAUCUCCCAACUAUGUGCCCAAGCUAGACUUCGUGAACAAGAUUGGGUGUUACUCACCGACGCAGAAGUACGAGUACAUCACUGCCCCCCAGAAGAUCGUGGAGCAGCAGCAUCAGCAACAGCACCAACAGCAGCAUCACCACCACUAUGCGGCUACUCCUCCGCCCAGCCAUAACGGCAUUAUGAUCCAUAAACAGCCCUCCCAACAACAGCAGCAACUGGUGGGGAUCCUGGACUAUCAUCCGAUGAAUGGCAAGCUGGACUACUCGCCCAAAGAUCAGUACGAGCCACAGCAGCAACUGCAGCACCUCUACGGCGGCAGCCCGCAUCACCUGGAUCAUCUGGACCAGCACGGGGGCGAUGCCCUGCUCCAGGACUCCUCCCCAGUGAUGCUCAAUGGAGGUUCAUCGGCUGGAAAACUCAAAAAACCCGAUGAAAUCUGCGGACAGAUGGAGGCGGGUGGCCCUGUCGUCGCUCCGACAACCAGCUCCGCGACGGUGGUCAAUGGUGGGGCAGGAACACCCAACGGCACUUCCGCCAGCUCUGCAGGAGUUCAGGGGGCGGCAGGCACAGCAGGAGGUGUGACAUCCGCUGCGCCGAAGAAGGAGAGCAACAGCAGUAAAAAGAAAGGCGAUCCCAAUGGCAUUAAAAAAAAGAAAACGAGGACAACCUUUACUGCCUACCAGCUGGAGGAACUGGAACGAGCUUUCGAACGUGCCCCGUACCCGGAUGUGUUCGCACGCGAAGAACUGGCCAUCAAGUUGAACCUGAGCGAGUCUAGGGUGCAAGUAUGGUUUCAGAACCGACGCGCUAAGUGGCGCAAGCACGAACCGCCUCGCAAAACGGGGUACAUCAAGACAAGCACUCCGCCGACGGCGAGUCUGAAUCCUGGAACUCUUGCCCCUCCGUUUACCAGCUAUCCACAGACGACGACGGUGACGCCGCCGGGCAGUAUGGAUAGCUGGACCAGCUACCAGACUCCCUACGAGCUGACACCCCAGUUCAGUUUGCUUUCGCCCGCGGCCAGUCCGUACGGCACCUAUUCCGGCCAGUAUGGUGCCUAUGUGCAUGAAAGUCAGCUGUUCCCAAUGCGUCACUUCGAUUACGGCAGCCCGACGCGCAUGGAAAUGGGAACAGCCUCCGGAUCGGUAGCAGGGGGAGGCGAAGACGUGGUGGCCAACGGAACCAGCUACCAGCCGGCGGAAAUGCAGCCCGCUCAGCAUCCGCAGCAACAACAAUUGGCAGAUGGCACCCUGGUAACCGUCCAUACCCACCAGCAGCAGCAACCCCACCAGUCCCAGCAGCAAUUAAACGGGAAGUACCUGAGCGCAGAGGAAACAAAAUACGUGCACCUCCAAUGUCACCAAAUUGGAUCGGGUCUAGAGUUGAGUCCUGGCUCCAACUGUCACCUGGUCGAAUCUCAAGGUCAGCACUAUGUGACAAGUGCCCCAGGCGGAUCCUCUAGCGGUGGUGGUGGUGGGGGUACCAGCAGCGACGACAACGACAGCGGGGGCCUGCAGGCUGUGAUCAAAAGUGAGGAUGCCGCCCAGCAGCAGCAGGCACAGAGCUUCACCCUGCCGCCUUUUUUGCACUAAGGGAAAUGCUCACACAUAGGCGACAACAGCAGAACAGCAGCAACCGCCGCUGGACCACGCCCAUCGUGCCAAGCGCCCGAUUCCGGCGGCCAUUUUAGGUGGGCGUGCGGUGUGCAGCAUUUCAAACCUUGUAUCGUCGGCUGGCUGUGGGGCCACAGGUACCUCCAAGAGCCAGGGAUUUAAAGAUUGAUUUCAAGCGAGAUCCGUUUAAAGUUUCGAAUUUAAAGCCCGACUGAGUUCCACAAUCCAGAGGCUUUUAGGGUUUUGCUGACCAUGUACACAGAUACAGUCCCUGGCCAUUGUUUUCAUAUUGCCAUAGGUUCCUUUUAGGUUUAAUUUCGCAAGUUGCAACAACAGAAUCGAUAAGUCUUGCCAAAACUUAAGACAUAUUUUAAUUCUAAGUAUAGAUUAAAAACGGCUAGAGGUUCUAGAACAUUUGUAGAACCCAGCCCCCAAUGCAUUCAAAAUGUGCCUUACCGCAUGGAUACAGGGCGGCUCUUCCGCAAAGAGCCCCGGAUCCGUACUACUUUAAGUAUAUCCCUACACCAUUGCAAAAUACUGUUGUUUAGACAAUAAAAUUCUUUCUGUAUUGUAUAUUAGCUCAUUCGGCUUUAUAAAGUUACUACUUACUAAUUUAUCCGCUUUGUAUAUUCGUUUAAAAAUUUGUUGUACCUAAAAUUAAGUUAAUUUAAGUUACGUUAUUGUAUCGUACUCUAGGACAUUUCGCCAGUGUAUAUAAUAGACAUAUGAAUAAAUCGUAUUUUGUACCAAUUACUGACUAAUAAGUUCCAAACAGAAACAAAGCUUAAAAUGUAAAAACAAGGUGCAUAAAGUAUUAUUAUGGGAAUCAUAGAUGUUACACUUUCAAAUAGGAAAAAAAUGGUGGGAAUAGCUUGAAUGUA